rnacentral:rRNA from 1 species
UUAAAUUGAAGAGUUUGAUCAUGGCUCAGAUUGAACGCUGGCGGCAGGCCUAACACAUGCAAGUCGAACGGUAACAGGAAGCAGCUUGCUGCUUCGCUGACGAGUGGCGGACGGGGGAGUAAUGUCUGGGAAACUGCCUGAUGGAGGGGGAUAACUACUGGAAACGGUAGCUAAUACCGCAUAACGUCGCAAGACCAAAGAGGGGGACCUUCGGGCCUCUUGCCAUCGGAUGUGCCCAGAUGGGAUUAGCUAGUAGGUGGGGUAACGGCUCACCUAGGCGACGAUCCCUAGCUGGUCUGAGAGGAUGACCAGCCACACUGGAACUGAGACACGGUCCAGACUCCUACGGGAGGCAGCAGUGGGGAAUAUUGCACAAUGGGCGCAAGCCUGAUGCAGCCAUGCCGCGUGUAUGAAGAAGGCCUUCGGGUUGUAAAGUACUUUCAGCGGGGAGGAAGGGAGUAAAG